AAUAUACUCCCUCCAUCCCAAAAUUAUUGUCUUAGAUUCAUCUAGAUAUGGAUGUAUCUAAUACUAAACGUAACUAGAUACAUCUGUAUUUAGACAAAUCUAAGACAAGAAUUUUGGGACGGAGGGAGUACAAG
rnacentral:pre_miRNA from 1 species